GACGAACGCUGGCGGCGUGCUUAACACAUGCAAGUCGAACGGAAACGCCCUGCUUUUUUGUGGUGCUCGAGUGGCGAACGGGUGAGUAACACGUGAGUAACCUGCCCUUGACUUUGGGAUAACUUCAGGUAACUUGGUCUAAUACCCGAUCUGAGCUCCUGCUGCAUGGUGGGCGUUGGAAAGUUUCGGCGGUUGGGGAUGGACGCGCGGCUUAUCAGCUUGUUUGUGGGGUAGUCGCUUACCAAGGGUUUGACGGGUAGCCGGCCUGGGAGGGUGAACGGGGACAAUGGGACUGAGAGAGGGAGCAGAGGGGAACGGGAGGCAGCAGUGGGAAAUAUUGAACAAUGGGGGGAAGCGUGAUGCAGAAACGCCGCGGGCGGGAUGACGGCCUUCGGGUUGUAAAAAGGUUUCGCCUGAGACGAAGCGUGAGUGACGGUAAUGGGUAAAGAAGCACCGGCUAACUACGUG
rnacentral:rRNA from 1 species